AGCGAACGCUGGCGGCAGGCUUAACACAUGCGAGUCGAGCGGGCGUAGCAAUACGUCAGCGGCAGACGGGUGCGUAACGCGUGGGAACGUACCUUUUGGUUCGGAACAACACAGGGAAACUUGUGCUAAUACCGGAUAAGCCCUUACGGGGAAAGAUUUAUCGCCGAAAGAUCGGCCCGCGUCUGAUUAGCUAGUUGGUGAGGUAACGGCUCACCAAGGCGACGAUCAGUAGCUGGUCUGAGAGGAUGAUCAGCCACAUUGGGACUGAGACACGGCCCAAACUCCUACGGGAGGCAGCAGUGGGGAAUAUUGGACAAUGGGGGCAACCCUGAUCCAGCCAUGCCGCGUGAGUGAUGAAGGCCCUAGGGUUGUAAAGCUCUUUUGUGCGGGAAGAUAAUGACGGUACCGCAAGAAUAAGCCCCGGCUAACUUCGUG
rnacentral:rRNA from 1 species